rnacentral:tRNA from 3 species
GCCGUUGUAGCUCAGCUGGUAGAGCAUCUCCAUGGUAAGGAGAAGGUCAUCGGUUCAAUCCCGAUCAACGGCUCAA